CUGCGGUCCCCGCCGCGACCUGAUUCCCGCCCUGCCCGGGGAGCUAACCCAGCCGCCUCCGGGGCGCCCUCCUUCUUCCUGGAUUCCCACGGCUGGACCAGAGCCCCUCUGGCAGCCGGGUUAAAGGCUCCUUCAGCAAGGUCAAGGCGCGGCCGGCUGGCACCUGGGGAUUUUUUUCCAGCCGAGCACUGGCUUUUCAAUCGCAUUGUUAAGGAUCAUGGCAGCGGCAGGAAAUCCGAAGGGCCCCACAGCCCAUCAACGUGAUACACAGGCUGCGGCGCUGGAGGGAAGCGGCGAAACGGGGAGAAUAAACGCAACAGAAGCAAACUGCUGUCUGCAGAGGCGAGAGGCGAAGGAACGGAAGCCAUACCCGACCCCAGCCCCAUCCCGUCCCCAUCAGCGCCGGGCUAGCGCAGGAAACCAGGAAUAGGUGUAGGCCUUCCAACACCUCCGAGGGAAGACUUGGAGCUCUGAAGACCCAAUGAAACCUCAGUUCUGACUGACUCCUCCUCUGCGAUCAAUUCCGGAUGCCCCCACUUAGUCCCUGCCUCGGUAACCGGUUCUUUGGGGACAGCAGCAUCAGCACCCGACGCCCAUCGCACAAGUGGGCGCCGUGGUGCGAGGCGUAUCCUAGCUACCCAGGCCGGGGUGGGGGCG
rnacentral:lncRNA from 1 species